ACGCUCGACACCUACGGGAGGCCGCAGUGAGGAAUAUUGGUCAAUGGGCGCUAGCCUGAACCAGCCAAGUAGCGUGAAGGAUGAAGGCUCUAUGGGUCGUAAACUUCUUUUAUAUAAGAAUAAAGUGCAGUAUGUAUACUGUUUUGUAUGUAUUAUAUGAAUAAGGAUCGGCUAACUCCGUGUCAGCAGCCGCGGUAAUCUGAGCGGGCUGGCAAGGC
rnacentral:rRNA from 1 species